UACGUAGGGUGCAAGCGUUAAUCGGAAUUACUGGGCGUAAAGCGUGCGCAGGCGGUUCGCUAAGACAGAUGUGAAAUCCCCGGGCUUAACCUGGGAACGGCCGUUGAAACUGGCGAACUGGAGUGUGGCAGAGGGGGGUGGAAUUCCACGUGUAGCAGUGAAAUGCGUAGAGAUGUGGAGGAAUACCGAUGGCGAAGGCAGCCCCCUGGGAUGACACUGACGCUCAUGCACGAAAGCGUGGGGAGCAAACAGG
rnacentral:rRNA from 1 species